GGUCGGAGACGCAGUCAGACCCUCGUGGCGCGUUCGUCCAAUCUGCUGCUGGUUUUCGUUUUUUGGGCGACAAUACAGAUUAACGCCGCCUGCUGUCAUGGAGACGUAUUUCGUCUCGCACAUG